rnacentral:lncRNA from 11 species
CUCCUCCAGGUCUACAACGCCCAGCAGAUCAAGCACCGGCUCAACUCCACCGGGAUGUAUGUCGCCAACACCAAGCCGGGCGGCUUCACCAUCGAGGUGACCAACAACAACAGCACCAUGGUGAUGACCGGCAUGAGGGUCCAGAUCGGGACCCAGGCCAUCGAGCGCGCCCCGUCCUACCUGGAGAUCUUUGGCCGCACCAUGCAGCUCAACCUCAGCCGCCCGCGGUGGUUCGACUUCCCCUUCACCCGGGAGGAGGCCCUGCAGGCCGACAAGAAGCUGACCAUCUUCGUGGGUGCUUCGGUGGAUCCGGCCGGGGUCACCAUGCUGGACGCCGUCAAGAUCUACGGCAAGACCAAGGAGCAGUUUGGAUGGCCGGACGAGCCCCCGGAGGACUUCCCCUCCGCCUCGGUCAGCAGCGUCUGCCCGCCCAACUUGAACCAAGGGAACGGCGCCGGAGACACCGAAGCCGCCGCUCCCGCAGUCGCCAGCGGCACCGUUCUGGAAAGUUCUGAAACUGAGUCCUUAACCACUCUGGACCGGCUAGUCGUGAGUUCUUUAGAAGCGCUGGAAAGCUGCUUUGCCGUUGGAGCAGUCAACGAGAAGGAGAAGAGCAAGGCGGCCACUCAGGACUUGGCCACGCUGCUCCUGUCCACGCCGGCCCCCUCCAGCGUCCAGCAGCAGACCAAGAGCCUCCUGGCCAGCCUCCACGCCAGCCGCUCGGCCUACCACAACCACAAGGACCAGGCCCUGCUGAGCAAAGCCAUCCAGUACCUGACGGCCUCCAGCAAGGAAGGCAAGGACCUGGACCCGGAGGUCUUCCAGCGGCUGGUCAUCACGGCCCGCUCCAUCGCCAUCAUGCGGCCCAACAACCUGGUCCACUUCACCGAGGCCAAGCUGCCCCCGGCGGAUGCAGAAGGCAGCAGUGACGAGGGUCUCGAGGGCCCGAAGAGCGUGGACGGCGAGGGCUGCAGCUUCAUCACCCAGUUGGUCAACCAUUUCUGGAUGCUGCACGCCUCCAAGCCCAAGAACGCCUUCCUGGCGCCAGCCUGUUUGCCAGGCCUGACCCACGUCGAAGCCACCGUCAAUGCUCUGGUGGACAUCAUCCACGGAUAUUGCACCUGCGAACUGGAUUGCAUUAACACGGCCUCCAAGAUUUACAUGCAGAUGCUCCUCUGCCCGGACCCUGCGGUCAGCUUCUCCUGCAAACAGGCCCUGAUCCGGGUGCUGAGGCCCAGGAACAAGCGGAGGCACGUGACCCUGCCUUCUUCGCCCCGGAGCAACACCCCCAUGGGAGACAAGGACGAUUACGACGACGACGACGCGGAUGACAAAAUGCAGGGCUCCGGGAUCCCCAACGGUGAGGACAUCCGGCAAGAGAGCCAGGAGCAGAGCGAGGUGGACCACGGGGACUUCGAGAUGGUGUCGGAAUCGAUGGUGCUGGAGACGGCGGAGAACGUGAACAACGGGAACCCCUCUCCGCUGGAGGCGCUGCUGGCCGGGGCCGAGGGCUUCCCCCCGAUGCUGGACAUCCCGCCGGACGCCGACGACGAGACCAUGGUGGAGCUGGCCAUCGCCCUCAGCCUCCAGCAGGACCAGCAAGGUGAGACACUCGGGCCUCUUUCGCACUCGUAUCUGCAUCCAGGGCUAUGCUCUGGUCGGGUUUAGAACGAUAACAACAGCACUAAUAGUAACAACACUGUAUAACAUGAUUUUUGUUCCUGAGUUACAAAUGUCACUUCCUAAUUGGAUCUCUCAUAACAACAUGGGAAAAGUUAACUGCACAAACUUACAAUAUAGACAGACACAGAGGCAUUUAACAUUUUUCCAUCUUCACGAUUCCGGCCACAGGGGGAGCUGCUGCCUCACCGUCCACUAGUGGCUGUACUUCCUCAUUCCUUUCCUCGUGUUUUGCUGGCAGUUUUAUGAUGUUGUAAAUUAGUUAAAUUAGCCUCCCGCAUAAAGCGUACCUAAAUAUCCCUACUUGACAGAUGCAACUGUCUUUCGGGGCUGCAUAAGUCAACAGCAAGCCGGGCUAUUUAAUGGUCGGGGGCUUAACCCGACCUGGGCUUCGAAUUCAUCACCUCUUGGUCAGUAGUGAUUUAUUGCAGCUGGUUACUAGCCAGCUGUGCCACAACCCAGC